CCCACAAGACCCACGAGUGUAUGCUUUCAGCCCAGCGUGCAUUCCUUUGUGCUCAGCUAGGUACAAAAUGUCUUUCUCCCCACGUGGCCCACAGUCCAGCUUCCUGUCCCAACUUCAGCCAUCCAGACCUUCUAUGGAUCCCAGUGCAGCAGUGAUGCCCCUUCAAGCUCUCCCUCCAUGGCCUGCAUCGGAAGCUGGAAUCCACAUCAGAGAUAAAAGGCCAGAAUUUCUCUGGAUGUUUGAGGAAAA